UACAUAGGCAGCAAGCGUUGUUCGGAGUUACUGGGCGUAAAGGGUGCGUAGGCGGCUUUUUAAGUUUGGUGUGAAAUCUCCCGGCUCAACUGGGAGGGUGCGCCGAAUACUGAGAGGCUAGAGUGUGGGAGAGGAAAGUGGAAUUCCUGGUGUAGCGGUGAAAUGCGUAGAUAUCAGGAGGAACACCGGUGGUGUAAACGGCUUUCUGGACCAUAACUGACGCUGAGGCACGAAAGCGUGGGUAGCAAACAGG
rnacentral:rRNA from 1 species